GAUGAAGAACGUAGCGAAAUGCGAUACUUGGUGUGAAUUGCAGAAUCCCGUGAACCAUCGAGUCUUUGAACGCAAGUUGCGCCCGAAGCCAUCAGGUUGAGGGCACGUCUGCCUGGGCGUCACAUAUCGUUGCCCAAUGUCUAUUGCAGUGCAAUAGGAAUUUCUAGGGCGAAUGAUGGCUUCCCGUGAGCGUUGUUGCCUCGCGGUUGGUUGAAAAUCGAGUCCUUGGUAGGGUGUGCCAUGGUAGAUGGUGGUCGAGUUAGAACGAUACCGAUCAUGUGCAUGCUCCCCAAAAUAUGGCCUCUAUGACCCACACGCGUCUUUUGACGCUCAUGACGAGACCUCAGGUCAGGCGGGGCUACCCGCUGAAUUUAAGCAUAUCACUAAGCGGAGGA
rnacentral:misc_RNA from 1 species